rnacentral:rRNA from 1 species
UGACGAAGCGACGCCGCGUGGGUGAAGAAGGCCUUCGGGUUGUAAAGCCCUGUCAGGAGUUAUGAAAUGUAAGUGCGCUAAUAUCGUGCUUAUUUGACAAAGGCUCCAAAGGAAGCCACGGCUAACUCUGUGCCAGCAGCCGCGGUAAUACAGAGGUGGCGAGCGUUGUUCGGAAUUAUUGGGCGUAAAGAGCACGUAGGUGGGUUUGCAAGUCAGAUGUGAAAGCCUUCUGUUCAACGGAAGAAUUGCAUCUGAAACUGCUAAUCUUGAGUAUAGGAGGGGAGAAUGGAACUUCUGGUGGAGCGGUGAAAUGCGUAGAUAUCAGAAGGAACGCCGGCGGCCAAAGCGAUUCUCUGGCCUAUUACUGACACUCAGUGUGCGAAAGCUAGGGGAGCAAACGGGAUUAGAUACCCCGGUAGUCCUAGCCGUAAACGAUGGGCACUAAGUAGAGG